rnacentral:lncRNA from 1 species
AAAAAAAAAACUUUCUUUCAAUAUAUAUAUUACAUAUACCCACCUAUAUACAUUAUAAAUACGUUAAAUAAUAUAUAUACACUAUAUAUAUAGUAUAUAUACUACAUUAGAAUUUAAAAAAUAUAUACACAUAUACACAAUUAGUCAAUUACUCAUAUAUACGCACCAUUCAAUGUAUAUAUACUACUACUUAUAAAAUUUACUACAAUAUAUAUA